rnacentral:rRNA from 1 species
GAUGAACGCUGGCGGCGUGCCUAAUACAUGCAAGUCGAGCGAACAGACGAGGAGCUUGCUCCUCUGACGUUAGCGGCGGACGGGUGAGUAACACGUGGAUAACCUACCUAUAAGACUGGGAUAACUUCGGGAAACCGGAGCUAAUACCGGAUAAUAUAUUGAACCGCAUGGUUCAAUAGUGAAAGACGGUUUUGCUGUCACUUAUAGAUGGAUCCGCGCCGCAUUAGCUAGUUGGUAAGGUAACGGCUUACCAAGGCAACGAUGCGUAGCCGACCUGAGAGGGUGAUCGGCACCACUGGAACUGAGACACGGUCCAGACUCCUACGGGAGGCAGCAGUAGGGAAUCUUCCGCAAUGGGCGAAAGCCUGACGGAGCAACGCCGCGUGAGUGAUGAAGGUCUUCGGAUCGUAAAACUCUGUUAUUAGGGAAGAACAAAUGUGUAAGUAACUAUGCACGUCUUGACGGUACCUAAUCAGAAAGCCACGGCUAACUACGUG